rnacentral:rRNA from 1 species
AGUGAACGCUGGCGGUAGGCCUAACACAUGCAAGUCGAACGGCAGCACAGUAAGAGCUUGCUCUUACGGGUGGCGAGUGGCGGACGGGUGAGGAAUACAUCGGAAUCUACUUUUUCGUGGGGGAUAACGUAGGGAAACUUACGCUAAUACCGCAUACGACCUACGGGUGAAAGCAGGGGAUCUUCGGACCUUGCGCGAUUGAAUGAGCCGAUGUCGGAUUAGCUAGUUGGCGGGGUAAAGGCCCACCAAGGCGACGAUCCGUAGCUGGUCUGAGAGGAUGAUCAGCCACACUGGAACUGAGACACGGUCCAGACUCCUACGGGAGGCAGAAGUGGGAAAUAUUGGAAAAUGGGCGCGAGACUGAUCCAGCCAUACCGAGUGGGUGAAGAAGGCCUUCGGGUUGUAAAGCCCUUUUGUUGGGAAAGAAAAGCAGCAGGUUAAUAACCCGCUGUUCUGACGGUACCCAAAGAAUAAGCACCGGCUAACUUCGUG